ensembl:snoRNA SNORD116 Small nucleolar RNA SNORD116
GAAUUGACGAUGACUUCCACAUAUACAUUCCUUGGGAAUCUGAACAAAACUAGUGAAAAACCUGUAUUGUCUAGCUCAUUGACCUGUGGUCC